rnacentral:rRNA from 1 species
CAUGGCUCAGGACGAACGCUGGCGGCGUGCUUAACACAUGCAAGUCGAACGGAGCGAAUGAAAGCUUGCUUUUAUGAGCUUAGUGGCAAACGGGUGAGUAACACGUAGACAACCUGCCGAUAGGAUGGGGACAACAUUCCGAAAGGAAUGCUAAUACCGAAUGAAGUGUGGGGGAGGCAUCUCCCGUACAUGAAAGAUGGCCUCUGAAUAUGCUAUCACCUAUCGAUGGGUCUGCGUCUGAUUAGCUGGUAGGUAAGGUAACGGCUUACCUAGGCGACGAUCAGUAGCCGGUCUGAGAGGAUGAACGGCCACAUUGGGACUGAGACACGGCCCAGACUCCUACGG